AUGAAAAGGAGGGGGGACCCAAGACCCAUACAGUAUAUGCAAGCGUUCCAAGAGGCUAUCGAUGAUUGUGAACUGCAUGAUAUCGGGUAUACUGGAGAACCGUUUACAUGGUUCAGAGGCAGAAUAAGGGAGAGACUGGAUAGAGGGCUGGCAAAUGAUGAGUGGACUGCAAUGUUUCCUAAUGCCUCGAUCCAGAACAUGGAGUAUAAUCACUCGGACCAUAGGCCUCUAUGCUUAGAUACAGACUACUUUGGCGGUUCGAUGGGUGGACACAAUGCAAAAGUGAAAAGGUUUGAGGCACGUUGGUUGAGAGAAGAGACCUUUGAUGCUACUGUUCGUGAAGUAUGGGAGAAAGUACAGGCAGACCCUACUGCCCAUGGCAUGUACGAGAAGCUAAAUAAAAUGCACGAGCGAUUUCAUGACUGGGACCAGCGGGUCCUGAAGAAACCAAAGAAGAGGCUGAGAAGAGCUCAGAGAGAACUUGAGAAAGUAAUAGCGGGGCCAAUGAACGAUGAAUACGAGGUGAAGAGAAGAGAACUAGCUGAGCUAAUUGAGUAUUUGCUUGAACUUGAGGAGAUUCAGUCUCGGUAG
rnacentral:rRNA from 1 species